rnacentral:rRNA from 1 species
GAUGAACGCUGGCGGCGUGCCUAAUACAUGCAAGUCGAGCGAACGGACGAGAAGCUUGCUUCUCUGAUGUUAGCGGCGGACGGGUGAGUAACACGUGGAUAACCUACCUAUAAGACUGGGAUAACUUCGGGAAACCGGAGCUAAUACCGGAUAAUAUUUUGAACCGCAUGGUUCAAAAGUAAAAGACGGUCUUGCUGUCACUUAUAGAUGGAUCCGCGCUGCAUUAGCUAGUUGGUAAGGUAACGGCUUACCAAGGCAACGAUGCAUAGCCGACCUGAGAGGGUGAUCGGCCACACUGGAACUGAGACACGGUCCAGACUCCUACGGGAGGCAGCAGUAGGGAAUCUUCCGCAAAGGGCGAAAGCCUGACGGAGCAACGCCGCGUGAGUGAUGAAGGUCUUCGGAUCGUAAAACUCUGUUAUUAGGGAAGAACAUAUGUGUAAGUAACUGUGCACAUCUUGACGGUACCUAAUCAGAAAGCCACGGCUAACUACGUG